rnacentral:rRNA from 1 species
UACGUAGGGUGCAAGCGUUAUCCGGAAUUAUUGGGCGUAAAGGGCGCGUAGGCGGCCCUCUAAGUCAGACGUGAAAUCCCUCGGCUCAACCGGGGAACUGCGUCUGAUACUGGAGGGCUUGAAUCCGGGAGAGGGAUGUGGAAUUCCAGGUGUAGCGGUGAAAUGCGUAGAUAUCUGGAGGAACACCGGUGGCGAAGGCGGCAUCCUGGACCGGUAUUGACGCUGAGGCGCGAAAGCUAGGGGAGCAAACGGG